rnacentral:sRNA from 18 species
GUCAACUACCCCGCCCUAAAGGGCGGAGCUUGCCUGCCUGCCGCGACGCAGACAGGUGAAAACAAGCUGGGUUGACCAGCCUAAGCCCUGUUAAAGGGGCUACGUGUACAACAGGUCGUCAAGACUCACCGGCGGAUGCUUCCUCAGUCUGCCGCUCUGAA